rnacentral:rRNA from 1 species
UACAGAGAGUGCAAGCGUUAAUCGGAAUCACUGGGCGUAAAGCGCGCGUAGGUGGAUAUUUAAGUCGAAUGUGUAAUCCCCGGGCUUAACCUGGGAACUGCAUCCGAUACUGGAUGUCUUGAGUAUGGUAGAGGGAAGUGGAAUUUCUGGUGUAGCGGUGAAAUGCGUAGAUAUCAGAAAGAACAUCAGUGGCGAAGGCGGCUUCCUGGACCAAUACUGACACUGAGGCGCGAAAGCGUGGGGAGCAAACAGG